GAAAUUAAUCUCCCCGUGAAGAAGCGGGGAUACUCAUAUAAGACGAGAAGACCCCAUGGAGCUUCAAACCCAACUACACCCCUAGCUCUUAUAGCCCCACAACCCCCCUAGGCACCGUGUGCUUGGUUUUAGGUUGGGGCGACCGCGGAGUACAAUAAAACCUCCACAAUGAAUGGGAACACCCCCUUAUCUGAGGGCCACACCCCCUAAGAAUUAGAACACUAACAUAAAAUGAUCCAUUACUUGAUCAAUGAACCAAGUUACCCUGGGGAUAACAGCGCAAUCCAUUUCAAGAGCCCCUAUCGACAAAUGGGUUUACGACCUCGAUGUUGGAUCAGGGUACCCCAGUGGUGCAGCAGCUACUAACGGUUCGUUUGUUCAACGAUUAAAACCCU
rnacentral:rRNA from 1 species